GAGCGAACGCUGGCGGAAUGCUUAACACAUGCAAGUCGCACGGGGGGCUUCGGCCUUAGUGGCGGACGGGUGAGUAACGCGUAGGAAUGUGUCCGAGGGUGGGGGAUAACGUUGGGAAACUGACGCUAAUACCGCAUAUCCCCUGAGGGGGAAAGCAGAGAUGCGCCCACGGAGCAGCCUGCGUCCGAUUAGCUUGUUGGUAAGGUAAGAGCUUACCAAGGCGACGAUCAGUAUCUGGUUUGAGAGGACGAUCAGACACACUGGAACUGAGACACGGUCCAGACUCCUACGGGAGGCAGCAGUGGGGAAUUUUGGACAAUGGACGCAAGUCUGAUCCAGCCAUUCCGCGUGCAGGAUGAAGGCCCUCGGGUUGUAAACUGCUUUUGUACGGAACGAAAAGGUUUCUAUUAAUACUAGGAGCUCAUGACGGUACCGUAAGAAUAAGCACCGGCUAACUACGUG
rnacentral:rRNA from 1 species